UACGGGGGGGGUAAGCGUUGUUCGGAAUUACUGGGCGUAAAGGGCUCGUAGGCGGCCAACUAAGUCAGACGUGAAAUCCCUCAGCUUAACUGGGGAACUGCGUCUGAUACUGGAUGGCUUGGAUUCGGGAGAGGAAUGCGGAAUUCCAGGUGUAGCGGUGAAAUGCGUAGAUAUCUGGAGGAACACCGGUGGCGAAGGCGGCUCACUGGACCAUAACUGACGCUGAUGCACGAAAGCCAGGGGAGCGAACGGG
rnacentral:rRNA from 1 species